rnacentral:rRNA from 1 species
CUACGGGGGGCUCCAGUGAGGAAUAUUGCACAAUGGGGGGAACCCUGAUGCAGCAACGCCGCGUGGAGGAUGACGCAUUUCGGUGUGUAAACUCCUUUUAUAUGUCAAGAAAAUGACGGUAGCAUAUGAAUAAGCACCGGCUAACUCCGUGCCAGCAGCCGCGGUAAUACGGAGGGUGCAAGCGUUACUCGGAAUCACUGGGCGUAAAGGACGCGUAGGCGGGUUGGAAAGUCAGGUGUGAAAUCCUACAGCUUAACUGUAGAACUGCACUUGAAACUUCUAAUCUAGAGUAUGGGAGGGGGAGAUGGAAUUAGUGGUGUAGGGGUAAAAUCCGUAGAUAUCACUAGGAAUACCUAAAGCGAAGGCGAUCUCCUGGAACAUUACUGACGCUAAGGCGUGAAAGCGUGGGGGAGCAAACAGGAUUAGAUACCCGCGUAGUC